AACGCUAGCUACAGGCUUAACACAUGCAAGUCGAGGGGCAGCAUAAAAGUAGCAAUACUUUGGUGGCGACCGGCGCACGGGUGAGUAACGCGUAUGCAACCUACCUAUCAGAGGGGAAUAACCCGGCGAAAGUCGGACUAAUACCGCAUAAAACAGGGGCACCGCAUGGUGAUAUUUGUUAAAGAAAUUCGCUGAUAGAUGGGUAUGCGUUCCAUUAGGUAGUUGGUGAGGUAACGGCUCACCAAGCCGACGAUGGAUAGGGGAACUGAGAGGUUGGUCCCCCACACUGGUACUGAGACACGGACCAGACUCCUACGGGAGGCAGCAGUGAGGAAUAUUGGUCAAUGGGCGGGAGCCUGAACCAGCCAAGUCGCGUGAAGGAAGAAGGAUCUAUGGUUCGUAAACUUCUUUUGCAGGGGAAUAAAGUGCGGGACGUGUCCUGUUUUGUAUGUACCCUGAGAAUAAGGAUCGGCUAACUCCGUGCCAGCAGCCGCGGUAAUACGGAGGAUCCGAGCGUUAUCCGGAUUUAUUGGGUUUAAAGGGUGCGUAGGUGGUUUGAUAAGUCAGCGGUGAAAGUUUGCAGCUUAACUGUAAAAAUGCCGUUGAAACUGUCGGACUUGAGUGUAAAUGAGGUAGGCGGAAUGCGUGGUGUAGCGGUGAAAUGCAUAGAUAUCACGAAGAACUCCGAUUG
rnacentral:rRNA from 1 species